AUGGUCUAGUGGCUAUGACGUCUGCCUAACACGCAGAAGAUCCCGGGUUCGAUCCCCGGUGCCCGUA
rnacentral:tRNA from 1 species